UCAAGCGAACAAGGGCGCAGGGCGAAUGCCUUGGCACUGGGAGCCGAUGAAAGACGUGAUAAGCUGCGAUAAGCUUCGGGGAGCUGCAAAUAAGCAUUGAUCCGGAGAUUUCUGAAUGAGGAAACUCACUUGGGUUCAUACUCAAGUACGCUGCACUGAAAUUUAAAAUAGGUGCAUCGGGGGAACCGCCUGAACUGAAACAUCUAAGUAGGGCGAGGAAGAGACAUCAAACGAGAUUCCGUAAGUAGUGGCGAGCGAACGCGGAAGAGGGCAAACCGAGAGUAGAAAUACUUUCGGGGUACGGACUGCUUUUAAGACUUAAUCUGUUAACCGAACGGCAUGGGAAGGCCGGUCAGAGAGUGUGAGAACCACGUAGGUGAAAACGGAGAGAGCUGCGCAGAUUCCAGAGUACGGCCAGACACGUGAAACCUGGUCGGAAGAUGGGGGGACCACCCUCCAACCCUAAAUACUACCCAGUGACCGAUAGCGUAUAGUACUGUGAAGGAAAGGUGAAAAGCACCCCGGGAGGGGAGUGAAAAAGAACCUGAAACCCUGUGCCUACAAGCACCUAGAGCGCGUCAAAGCGUGAUAGGGUACUUUUUGUAGAACGGUCCGGCGAGCGAUUGUAUGCAGCAAGGUUAAGGACUUAAGGUCUGGAGCCGAAGCGAAAGCGAGUUUGAAAAGGGCGUUAAGUUGCAUAUAAUGGGCCCGAAACCGGGUGACCUACCCAUGGUCAGGUUGAAGUGGAAGUAAAAUUCCAUGGAGGACCGAACCGACCUCCGUUGAAAAGGCGGCGGAUGAACUGUGGGUAGCGGAGAAAUUCCAAUCGAACCCGGAGAUAGCUGGUUCUCCCCGAAAUAGUUUUAGGACUAGCCUCAAGUUAGAUACCUGGAGGUAAAGCACUGAAUAGCCUAGCGGCCGAGAGGUUAGCGAAGCUUAUCAAACUCAGAAUGCCAGAGUAUUGAUGCUUGGGAGUCAGACAGUGUCAGAUAAAUGUCAUUGUCAAAAGGGAAACAGCCCAGAUCUACAGCUAAGGUCCCAAAGUCAGGUUAAGUGGAAAACGAUGUGAAGAUACGCAGACAACCAGGAUGUUGGCUCAGAAGCAGCCACUCAUUCAAAGAGUGCGUAAUAGCUCACUGGUCGAGCGUCUUUGCGCGGAGAAUUUAACGGGGCUAAACCUGACACCGAAGCUUAGGCAAUGUAGUAAUACAUUGGGUAGGGGAGCGUUGUAUACGCGGAGAAACAGUAGCGUAAGCGGCUGUGGAGUGUAUAGAAGUGAGAAUGCCGGAAUGAGUAGCGCGAAUGCAGUGAGAAUCUGCAUGGCCGAAAGCCUCAGGUUUCUGGAGGAAGGUUCGUCCGCUCCAGGUUAGUCGGGAGCUAAGGUGAGGCCGAAAGGCGUAGCCGAUGCACAGACGGUAGAGAUUCCGUCACCACCAAAAGAGUUAAGCACAGGGACACAUAUGAAGUCUCAGAGCCGGGUGUUGGUUCCGGUAGAGAUCGAGGGAAAUUAGUACCGAAGUCUGAGAUGGAAGAUGGCGAGAAAAGCUGUGUGUAUUUCUGAGGUGCCCGUACCGCAAACCGACACAGGUAGGUAGGAAGAAGAUUCUAAGGCCAACGGGAGAAGGGUUGUUAAGGAACUCGGCAAAUUGACCCCGUAACUUCGGGAGAAGGGGUGCUCCAGAGAUGGAGCCGCAGAGAAUCGGCCCAAGCAACUGUUUACCAAAAACACAGGUUUGUGCUAAAUCGAAAGAUGACGUAUACGAGCUGACGCCUGCCCGGUGCUGGAAGGUUAAGAGGAGAUGUGCAAGCAUUGAAUCGAAGCCCCAGUGAACGGCGGCCGUAACUAUAACGGUCCUAAGGUAGCGAAAUUCCUUGUCAGGUA
rnacentral:rRNA from 1 species